rfam:Triticum urartu cultivar G1812 contig165636, whole genome shotgun sequence.
UUUGUACUCCCUCCGUUCCGAAUUAUUUGUCUUAGAUUUGUCUAGAUACGGAUGUAUCUAGCACUAAAAUGAGUCUAGAUACAUCCGUAUCUAGACAAAUCUAAGACAAAUAAUUCAGAACGGAGGGAGUAACAG